CCUUUUUGCUGUGAGGCAUCGGUGUUCACCGCUGAGCCGGAUCAAACCUGAGUUAAACAGUUCAAAAAUCUUUACUGCAACAGGAUUAUCCACAUGGAAAUCUAUGGGAGCAGCAACAGCAAGCUGUAGCACUUCCUGUGCAGCCUGCCAAAAUAACCAGGAAUAUCUGGGAAGACACC